GGGACACGUGGUAUCCUGUCUGAAUAUGGGGGGACCAUCCUCCAAGGCUAAAUACUCCUGACUGACCGAUAGUGAACCAGUACCGUGAGGGAAAGGCGAAAAGAACCCCGGCGAGGGGAGUGAAAAAGAACCUGAAACCGUGUACGUACAAGCAGUGGGAGCCUCUUUAUGGGGUGACUGCGUACCUUUUGUAUAAUGGGUCAGCGACUUAUAUUCUGUAGCAAGGUUAACCGAAUAGGGGAGCCGAAGGGAAACCGAGUCUUAACUGGGCGUUAAGUUGCAGGGUAUAGACCCGAAACCCGGUGAUCUAGCCAUGGGCAGGUUGAAGGUUGGGUAACACUAACUGGAGGACCGAACCGACUAAUGUUGAAAAAUUAGCGGAUGACUUGUGGCUGGGGGUGAAAGGCCAAUCAAACCGGGAGAUAGCUGGUUCUCCCCGAAAGCUAUUUAGGUAGCGCCUCGUGAAUUCAUCUCCGGGGGUAGAGCACUGUUUCGGCAAGGGGGUCAUCCCGACUUACCAACCCGAUGCAAACUGCGAAUACCGGAGAAUGUUAUCACGGGAGACACACGGCGGGUGCUAACGUCCGUCGUGAAGAGGGAAACAACCCAGACCGCCAGCUAAGGUCCCAAAGUCAUGGUUAAGUGGGAAACGAUGUGGGAAGGCCCAGACAGCCAGGAUGUUGGCUUAGAAGCAGCCAUCAUUUAAAGAAAGCGUAAUAGCUCACUGGUCGAGUCGGCCUGCGCGGAAGAUGUAACGGGGCUAAACCAUGCACCGAAGCUGCGGCAGCGACGCUUAUGCGUUGUUGGGUAGGGGAGCGUUCUGUAAGCCUGUGAAGGUGUGCUGUGAGGCAUGCUGGAGGUAUCAGAAGUGCGAAUGCUGACAUAAGUAACGAUAAAGCGGGUGAAAAGCCCGCUCGCCGGAAGACCAAGGGUUCCUGUCCAACGUUAAUCGGGGCAGGGUGAGUCGACCCCUAAGGCGAGGCCGAAAGGCGUAGUCGAUGGGAAACAGGUUAAUAUUCCUGUACUUGGUGUUACUGCGAAGGGGGGACGGAGAAGGCUAUGUUGGCCGGGCGACGGUUGUCCCGGUUUAAGCGUGUAGGCUGGUUUUCCAGGCAAAUCCGGAAAAUCAAGGCUGAGGCGUGAUGACGAGGCACUACGGUGCUGAAGCAACAAAUGCCCUGCUUCCAGGAAAAGCCUCUAAGCAUCAGGUAACAUCAAAUCGUACCCCAAACCGACACAGGUGGUCAGGUAGAGAAUACCAAGGCGCUUGAGAGAACUCGGGUGAAGGAACUAGGCAAAAUGGUGCCGUAACUUCGGGAGAAGGCACGCUGAUAUGUAGGUGAAGUCCCUCGCGGAUGGAGCUGAAAUCAGUCGAAGAUACCAGCUGGCUGCAACUGUUUAUUAAAAACACAGCACUGUGCAAACACGAAAGUGGACGUAUACGGUGUGACGCCUGCCCGGUGCCGGAAGGUUAAUUGAUGGGGUCAGCGCAAGCGAAGCUCUUGAUCGAAGCCCCGGUAAACGGCGGCCGUAACUAUAACGGUCCUAAGGUAGCGAAAUUCCUUGUCGGGUAAGUUCCGACCUGCACGAAUGGCGUAAUGAUGGCCAGGCUGUCUCCACCCGAGACUCAGUGAAAUUGAACUCGCUGUGAAGAUGCAGUGUACCCGCGGCAAGACGGAAAGACCCCGUGAACCUUUACUAUAGCUUGACACUGAACAUUGAGCCUUGAUGUGUAGGAUAGGUGGGAGGCUUAGAAGUGUGGACGCCAGUCUGCAUGGAGCCGACCUUGAAAUACCACCCUUUAAUGUUUGAUGUUCUAACGUUGACCCGUAAUCCGGGUUGCGGACAGUGUCUGGUGGGUAGUUUGACUGGGGCGGUCUCCUCCUAAAGAGUAACGGAGGAGCACGAAGGUUGGCUAAUCCUGGUCGGACAUCAGGAGGUUAGUGCAAUGGCAUAAGCCAGCUUGACUGCGAGCGUGACGGCGCGAGCAGGUGCGAAAGCAGGUCAUAGUGAUCCGGUGGUUCUGAAUGGAAGGGCCAUCGCUCAACGGAUAAAAGGUACUCCGGGGAUAACAGGCUGAUACCGCCCAAGAGUUCAUAUCGACGGCGGUGUUUGGCACCUCGAUGUCGGCUCAUCACAUCCUGGGGCUGAAGUAGGUCCCAAGGGUAUGGCUGUUCGCCAUUUAAAGUGGUACGCGAGCUGGGUUUAGAACGUCGUGAGACAGUUCGGUCCCUAUCUGCCGUGGGCGCUGGAGAACUGAGGGGGGCUGCUCCUAGUACGAGAGGACCGGAGUGGACGCAUCACUGGUGUUCGGGUUGUCAUGCCAAUGGCACUGCCCGGUAGCUAAAUGCGGAAGAGAUAAGUGCUGAAAGCAUCUAAGCACGAAACUUGCC
rnacentral:rRNA from 1 species